rnacentral:rRNA from 1 species
UACGAAGGGGGCUAGCGUUGCCCGGAAUCACUGGGCGUAAAGCGCACGUAGGCGGAUCUUAAAGUCAGGGGUGAAAUCCUGGAGCUCAACUCCAGAACUGCCCUUGAUACUGGGGAUCUUGAGUCCGGAAGAGGUGAGUGGAACUCCGAGUGUAGAGGUGAAAUUCGUAGAUAUUCGGAAGAACACCAGUGGCGAAGGCGGCUCACUGGUCCGGUACUGACGCUGAGGUGCGAAAGCGUGGGGAGCAAACAGG